CAGCAGUAGCCGCGGUAAUGCGUAGGUGGCAAGCGUUGUCCGGAAUUAUUGGGCGUAAAGGGCUCGCAGGCGGUUUCUUAAGUCUGAUGUGAAAGCCCCCGGCUCAACCGGGGAGGGUCAUUGGAAACUGGGAAACUUGAGUGCAAAAGAGGAGAGUGGAAUUCCACGUGUAGCGGUGAAAUGCGUGGGGAUGUGGAGGAACACCAGUGGCGAAGGCGACUCUCUGGUCUGUAACUGACGCUGAGGAGCGAAAGCGUGGGGAGCGAACAGGAUUAGAUACCCGCGUAGUCCCUGUCUCUUAUAC
rnacentral:rRNA from 1 species